rnacentral:lncRNA from 1 species
AUGUGCCAGCAUAACUGGCCUACUGAACAUCCUGGUGCCAGAAGAGCUGGAGAGUGCAUGAGUUCAAGAGCCUCUUUAUCACGCCGGUUUCCUGUACUGAUGAUGGCACUUGUCUUACUGCCACUUGGUUGCCUUUGUCUCAUUGUGCUCUUUUGCUAUCGCUUUCGCCGUCGCUGGAAGAUGAUUGCCUUUUUUAUUGCAAAAGAUGAACAGAUUGACCAGGAAAAAGAAACCCCAAUCCUUUCUGGAGAUGUUGCCCUUCAGGACUCCCAAGGAUAUGAUUCUCCUGUGCCACCUCCUAGCCUCGAGCAGCCUUACAAUGAAGCAGUUAUAUUUCCACCUUGUGCUGAGGAAGCCGCUGAGCAUGGUCCUAAGGAAGCCACUGAGCAUGGUCCUGAGGAAGCCAUUGAGCACGGUCCUGAGAAUGUUGCCAUUCUCGACUCCCAAGAACAGGAGUCUUUAGUGCCACUGUCUCCUAACCCGGAGCAUCCUGCUGACAAUGAAGCAGUCAUGUCUUCACCUCCUGCCACUCUGGAAAAUCAGCCAGGUGGGGUUACAUCCCCACCCCCUCCCAUGCCAGAAGAACUACCUGUUCUUGAAGAUGAUGGUUUCCCACCAUCUUCACCUGCCACAGAUGUAGAAAGCGAUGAUUUCCAUUAAAUUACUGCUCAGCAAGCCGGCCUUGUUCUAGUUAUUACAGGCUACUUAUAAGCUUAUUGGCUGGGACCAGAGGCAGAUAUUAAGGAUAACUCAUGACAGAAAUUCUUCACUAAUGUGAGUGGCUGAGUGUCAUAGCGCAUGAAUUUAUCUGAGUGCAGAGAUUAUGCAAAUUAGCUUGCUUUAUUUGAUGAUUCCAGAUUUCCUUUAAAGUCUAAUGCAUGUCACUUCUCAGCACAGAGCUGCUUCAGCUCUAAUGAGGGACUAUAUCUAGGAUCUCUUUUUGGCAUGAAAUUGUCUCAGUUCAUUCCUUUGCUCCUUCUGCUGUGUCAAAUUGCCUUCUGGCUUAUUUGUCUGGUUUCAUGGUUUCCACAGCUGAAAGAUAAUGAAAGUUUGAAACCACAUUCAUUAAUUUCCGUAACCUGCAUCUCUCUCAGUAGAACCAGCGUUUGAGGU